UAUUGCACAAUGGGGGAAACCCUGAUGCAGCGACGCCGCGUGAGUGAAGAAGUAUUUCGGUAUGUAAAGCUCUAUCAGCAGGGAAGAAGAAAGACGAUACCUGAAUAAGAAGCCCCGGCUAACUACGUGCCAGCAGCCGCGGUAAUACGUAGGGGGCAAGCGUUAUCCGGAGUUACUGGGUGUAAAGGGAGCGUAGACGGCAUGGCAAGCCAGAUGUGAAAUACCGGGGCUCAACCCCGGGACUGCAUUUGGAACUGUUAAGCUGGAGUGUCGGAGAGGCAGGCGGAAUUCCUAGUGUAGCGGUGAAAUGCGUAGAUAUUAGGAGGAACACCAGUGGCGAAGGCGGCCUGCUGGACGAUGACUGACGUUGAGGCUCGAAAGCGUGGGGAGCAAACAGG
rnacentral:rRNA from 1 species